rnacentral:rRNA from 1 species
GGCGAACGCUGGCGGCGUGCUUAACACAUGCAAGUCGAACGGAAAGGCCCCUUUGGGGGUACUCGAGUGGCGAACGGGUGAGUAACACGUGAGUAACCUGCCCUUGACUUCGGGAUAACUUCAGGAAACUGGGGCUAAUACCGGAUAGGAAUCCUUGCUGCAUGGUGGGGGUUGGAAAGCUUCGGCGGUUUUGGAUGGACUCGCGGCUUAUCAGCUUGUUGGUGGGGUAGUGGCUUACCAAGGCUUUGACGGGUAGCCGGCCUGAGAGGGCGACCGGCCACAUUGGGACUGAGAUACGGCCCAGACUCCUACGGGAGGCAGCAGUGGGGAAUAUUGCACAAUGGGCGGAAGCCUGAUGCAGCAACGCCGCGUGCGGGAUGACGGCCUUCGGGUUGUAAACCGCUUUCAGCAGGGGCGAAGCUUGUGGUGACGGUACCUGCAGAAGAAGCACCGGCUAACUACGUG